rnacentral:rRNA from 1 species
ACUCCUACGGGAGGCAGCAGUGGGGAAUAUUGGACAAUGGGCGAAAGCCUGAUCCAGCAAUGCCGCGUGUGUGAAGAAGGCCUGCGGGUUGUAAAGCACUUUCAGUAGAGAAGAAAAGCUUGGGGCUAAUACCUCCGGGUCUUGACGUUACCUACAGAAGAAGCACCGGCUAACUCCGUGCCAGCAGCCGCGGUAAU